rnacentral:misc_RNA from 1 species
UUGGAACUCAAACUUGAACCUGUUUCUGCCUAUGAUUAUCUGUUGAUAUUAUUACCUUUAUUGAAGUCAUACAUGAGGGCACGUUUGGAGGAUUUAGCUGAGAAGGANNNNNNNNAAGUCUGAUGCUGCAAGAGAAGCAUUUUUAGCAGAACUGGCACUUGAUUCUAAGAAAAUUGCUAGAGGAGGAAGUGAUAAUUUGAGAAAUACACAGGAGAAGGCAAAGGAUAAAAAAAAGAACAGAGAAUACAGGAAAAGCAAAGAUUCAAAGGCUAUUUUUGGCAAUGAGCAGCAUUUGCUUCAUGAUGAGACUGCUGAGGAAAGUUCCUUUCCAGUUGCAUCCGGUGGUGAUCCGGAUUCUGAGAUUCCUUUUUCAGUGAGUGGCGAGGACUUGAAACAACAGGAGGAAGAAUGUAGACGUAAAAUUGAGCUUGAAGCAGAGGAAAGAAAACUAGAAGAAACCCUGGAGUAUCAAAGACGAAUUGAGAAUGAGGC